UGUCGGGUCGUCUAAUGGCAGGACAGCGCCCUUUGGAGGCGUUUGUAGAGGUUCGACUCCUCUCCCGACAGCAA
rnacentral:tRNA from 1 species